GUCAGGGCCCGAAGCAGUGAUUGAGCACCUGGGGCAAAGCCGGGCCCACCCACGGGAGCUCAGGUGCAGGCAAUGUUCUCUAGUGAGCGCAAGGGGCGGAGCUAGGGUGCACCCCUUCCCGUCCUCAUUUGAGGGCCGGCAGAGGAGGAGAGAGUAUUUCUCUCUUGUGGUCUCUGCCUAAUAGGACUUUUUGAAGGCCGUUGCAACUUUGUUGCCGUUAACCCAGCGUUCUGUGUACGCGCUUGGGAUAUUUCCACCGUCAGAACGCAGAGCCCCGCAACUGUCCUGGAACGACUUCAAUGUUGUCGGUGCGAAGAGCACGGCUUCGGAGCUCCGUGGAGAAGUCUGAAUUCACCUGCUCCAUCUGCUCCAUCGUGCCAGAGGAGUCCACCUUUGAAUCAGAUACGCUAGAACAGCAAGCAGGGUUGAAAUUGCAGCGUCCCCAGCCCAGUUCUCUUCCUCAGGCAACGCGGGACUCUGAGUAUUUCCCCAAAACAGAAAAACAAGCAGAGAACAACCAAGCAGCCAGCUUUCUCCGCUUCUGAAGCGCUACUCGAGGCCCCACCACACGUACAGAGCCAGCUUCACCAGGAAUGCAAGGACAGCAAGCUGCCACCAAGUCACCUCCAGCGUCAGAACUGCCAACGCCGAGCUCUUCACCUCCUGGGAUUCCUGUGUAAGAGGUAAGGUCCCUACAGCCAGUGGCAUUCCCACACAGCUAGGAUUCACAAGACAUUCAUUUUUGUUUUUCCAGCCCAAGCCCAGCUUAGCAGGGCUAUUCCCAGCAGCUGUAGCCGAGGCUUCAGCUAUCAUACUUAAUUGGGGAGUCCCUCUGAGAAGUUAGCUCCAGUUCAAGUGUCAUUUUGGGAUUCGAGUACCAGAGCAACUGGAGGUAGCACUUCAGUCAAAAAGCCUGGCUGCCAGUGGGGUAUCACAACGUAGCUAACAUUGCGGCUCAAACCUAGAAAUACCAAGUGCUUGAGACGGUAAGCCCACAUCAACGCUAUUGUUUGAGACGGUAAGCCCACAUCAACGCUAUUGUUUGAGAAAGAAAGCCCACAUCAACGCUAUUGCUCCUCUAAGCUUAACAGCUAACCCCUGUUUCCACCUCAAAAUUAACACCUCUCCUCCUUCUAGCAAGUAGCAUGGAUUACCACAGCAGAAUCCUCAGAGCAAGGAACAAGCACCACUGACUAAGCAAUCCAUGUGGGAAAAGCCUCAUAUUCUAUUGAUCCCAGUGACUUUAGGGUGAUGCUUGUUUAGAUGCUUGUCGUUGCAGAAUACUCAUCGUGAACCAAGGAAGAACACUCAGCUGCCUGCUGCAGGAGGAUUUCACAGCCAUCCACACCAGCAAAGAUUUUUUCCAAGGCACCUAUCUGCUCUUCAGUAAAGCACAGACCUCGGUUUAUUCAA